UUCUCCCUCCUCCUCGUUCUCGAGCGCAAAAGCUCCCUUUAAACAUCUCAUCCCUAAAUUCUUCUUUCCCCUUCCUCCCUCGCUCCCGUUCUCGAGCGACCGCUGUGAACUCGGAAAUCAUGGCGGCUGUGAACUCUAGUUCCAAAAACGCGAGGAAGGAGGAAGUGAAGAAGGAAACUGGACUUGGGUUGACCCACAAAGGAUGAGAAUUUCGGAGAAUGGUAUUCCGAGUUGAGACAUGGACUCCUGUUGGGUUUUAUGCUGUGAUUUAUGGGUUGAGCUAGAAGCAUUUGAGUUGGCUAAUUCAUCUUGUGACGUGACGUUUGUAUAACGUCUAUGUCAGUCAAUGAUUUUGCAUGCUUGCCAGGUUGUUGUUAAUUGUGAAAUGAUUGAAUUCUAUGGCAUAUCUGGGUGCUAUAUCCUGAGGCCGUGGACAAUGGCAAUUUGGGAAACCUUACAGACCUUUUUUGACGCGAAAAUAAAAAAGAUGAACAUAAAAAAUGCUUAUUUUCCUCUAUUCGUAACUAAGAACGUUCUGGAGAAGGAGAAGGAUCAUAUAGAAGGUUUUGCUCCUGAGGUUGCUUGGGUUACUCAGUCUGGACAGUCUGAACUGGAAGUUCCUAUAGCAAUACGUCCCACAAGUGAGACUGUUACGUAUCCUUAUUUUUCAAAGUGGACAAAGGGGCACCGUGACUUGCCUUUAAAGCUUAAUCAAUGGUGCAAUAUUGUAAGAUGGUAGUUCACCCAUCCUACUCCUUUCAUCAGGGACCCUUUGCUUUGCUUUGGGAACACCUGCAACAACGUGGACAUACUGGGGAAGAAGCUACUAAGCGUUUUGCAUUAUUUAUUUGUCACUGACUCAUGCCUUCAAUUGCUAAAAUUGGAGCAUGUUUCCAGGGUUUGCUUGAUUCAUAAUUUUCUUGCUUAUUUUGGUGAAGUCUUUCUGAUUCUAUACUUUAAGAUGUUUGACUUGAUAGCUGAUCUGAUUUUAGCUAAUACUUAAUAUUAUUCGAGAUCCAAAAACCCGUUAUGUGGUUGACAUGAUUUGAGAUUAGUAUUCACUGUGGUAGUAGAGUUAAUCCAGAACUUACCAGAAUUCAAGCUGUUGCUAGUAUAAGCAUUCCAUGUGACCAAACUGCUACAUCAUCCAAAUGUGAUCCAAAAGUUUGGUUUAUUCAUUAACGUCUGCAACUAUUCUGAUGUUAGAUGGUAAAUACUGAUCGAUAUUUUUAACCAUGAACCUCAAAUCAGUAUCAAACCAUAUGAUCCAUCUAAGGUCAUGUACUUAUAUUUUCUGUUCUUUUACUAAGUGAUAUUGUUGGCAAUAUAAAAUUGAUAUCAAACUGAUAUAUAAAACCUACAUGCCAGACAAAAGAUGAGAAUUUUGUUUUGAAUUGUGCCAUAUAUAGAUCAUCAACAGCCUAUGUUAUUUUGGAUUGCUAGCCUAGGCAUGGAGUUUGGUAGCUUGUGAGGCUGCAACUUUUGGAUAGGGGACAAGAAAGAUAUGGUCUUGUUUGUCCCAUUAGUCAUGUGUGAUGAAUCCUCAUCCCUUUUUACUGUCAUUUCGAGCUAAAAAUAAAUCAUAAAAGAGAUUAUCCUGUUAUUUAUCUUUCAUAAAAUAAUCUUUUUUCUGGGAUGAUCUGAUUUGGCCAGGCUGCGGCGAUGAGGAGUCCGCAGGAGAGGAACACGAGGCUGGAAAACGUGCUGGCGAAUUUGGAAUUUGACCCUCAAGAAGAAGGAGCUAAUAAUACAUGCCCUCAUCCAAAUGCCAAAGGUUGGGCCAUAUCUCUGUCCCAUAAACACAGUACUGAAGCAUCGGUGACAAAUGCCAAUGCCUAUAUCUACACGAAACACUGCAUUAAAUUUGAGACUCAUUCUGCAUUAGUGCAUAAGCUUAGUUCCAGUUUUCCAUUGUCACAUUCAUUGUAUAUAUAAAGAUGUGAAAAGAAUUCGAUGUACUUAUAUGGUCUAUAUGUAUUGAGAGAAGUGGGAAGUGGAAUCCCUCCUUGUCUUCAUCUCACAAACUACAUAAACAAGAUCAAAGAUACAGGGCCAUGAUCUAUGCCCAGGAAAACGCUAAACUAAGUACUACAUCACGUCAACUGAGACAUGGAAUCACAAAGUAGGAUUUUGGCUUGCAUUCAUGUCGGUCGUGUACUGUUCUCGAAGCGGUGGCGCGGAAGGGUGGGAAGCAUGAUGUGUUCUUGUCGAGGCUGUACUACGUGAUCCCAUCAAGGAGAUGCUACUGAUAUCAUCCGAGGAGACGAAUCGCUACUACCAAAGGAAAGGUCUAAUUAUAAGAAGCAGUUUAUUUCUUCCAAUCUUUGCGUCAAGAUUACGUUAGUCUGACUCAGAAAACCAGAAGGAAAUCGUUGGUGUUUGACGAAAUCUGCUCCGCAAUAGUAUACGUAUUGUUUAUCCAUUAUUCUAUCCACAAUUACUUCUCUCUCUCUCU